rnacentral:rRNA from 1 species
UAUGUAGGUGGCGAGCGUUAUCCGGAAUUAUUGGGCGUAAAGAGCGCGCAGGUGGUUGAUUAAGUCUGAUGUGAAAGCCCACGGCUUAACCGUGGAGGGUCAUUGGAAACUGGUCGACUUGAGUGCAGAAGAGGGAAGUGGAAUUCCAUGUGUAGCGGUGAAAUGCGUAGAGAUAUGGAGGAACACCAGUGGCGAAGGCGGCUUCCUGGUCUGUAACUGACACUGAGGCGCGAAAGCGUGGGGAGCAAACAGGAUUAGA